AACGAACGCUGGCGGCGUGCCUAACACAUGCAAGUCGUGCGAGAAAGUUCCUUCGGGAGCGAGUAAAGCGGCGCACGGGUGAGUAACACGUAGGUAACCUGCCCCCCAGUCUGGAACAACUAGAGGAAACUCUAGCUAAUGCCGGAUGAGACCACGAUCCCUUCGGGGGUUGCGGCCAAAGAUGGCCUCUACUUGUAAGCUAUCGCUGAGGGAUGGGCCUGCGGGCCAUUAGCUUGUUGGUGAGGUAACGGCUCACCAAGGCUGUGAUGGCUAGCUGGUCUGAGAGGAUGACCAGCCACACUGGGACUGAGACACGGCCCAGACUCCUACGGGAGGCAGCAGUGGGAAUAUUGCGCAAUGGGCGAAAGCCUGACGCAGCGACGCCGCGUGGGUGAUGGAAGGCCUU
rnacentral:rRNA from 1 species